CAGCAGCCGCGGGAAUACAGAGGGUGCAAGCGUUAAUCGGAGUUACUGGGCGUAAAGGGCGCGUAGGCGGUUAUAUAAGUGAGAUGUGAAAUCCCUGGGCUUAACCUAGGAACUGCAUCUUAUACUGUAUGGCUAGAGUAUUGUAGAGGGUAGUGGAAUUUCCGGUGUAGCGGUGAAAUGCGUAGAGAUCGGAAGGAACACCAGUGGCGAAGGCGGCUACCUGGACAAAUACUGACGCUGAGGCGCGAAAGCGUGGGGAGCAAACAGGAUUAGAUACCCCUGUAGUCCCUGUCUCUUAUAC
rnacentral:rRNA from 1 species